rnacentral:pre_miRNA from 1 species
AUCCUAACUUGGAGCACUUAUGCGAUAUGAAAGAAUCAUAAGUGCUCUUUGUGAAGGAUGA